rnacentral:rRNA from 1 species
AUUGAACGCUGGCGGCAGGCCUAACACAUGCAAGUCGAACGAGUGGCGGACGGGUGAGUAAUGUCUGGGAAACUGCCUGAUGGAGGGGGAUAACUACUGGAAACGGUAGCUAAUACCGCAUACCAUCAGAUGUGCCCAGAUGGGAUUAGCUUGUUGGUGGGGUAACGGCUCACCAAGGCGACGAUCCCUAGCUGGUCUGAGAGGGUGACCCGGCAAACCGGAAAUGAGACAACGGUCCAAAUCCUAAGGGGGGGAGGAGUGGGGAAUAUUGCACAAUGGGCGCAAGCCUGAUGCAGCCAUGCCGCGUGUAUGAAGAAGGCCUUCGGGUUGUAAAGUACUUUCAGCGGGGAGGCGUUACCCGCAGAAGAAGCACCGGCUAACUCCGUGCCAGCAGCCGCGGUAAUUC